rnacentral:rRNA from 1 species
CAACUUGAGAGUUUGAUCCUGGCUCAGAACGAACGCUGGCGGCAGGCUUAACACAUGCAAGUCGAACGAGAAGCUACCUUCGGGUAGUGGAAAGUGGCAGACGGGUGAGUAACGCGUGGGAAUAUACCUAGAGGUACGGAACAACUCCGGGAAACUGGUGCUAAUACCGUAUACGCCCUUCGGGGGAAAGAUUUAUCGCCUUUAGAUUAGCCCGCGUUAGAUUAGCUUGUUGGUGAGGUAAUGGCUCACCAAGGCGACGAUCUAUAGCUGGUCUGAGAGGAUGAUCAGCCACACUGGGACUGAGACACGGCCCAGACUCCUACGGGAGGCAGCAGUGGGGAAUCUUGGACAAUGGGCGCAAGCCUGAUCCAGCCAUGCCGCGUGUGUGAUGAAGGCCCUAGGGUUGUAAAACACUUUCAGUGGGGAAGAUAAUGACGGUACC